UACGUAGGGGGCAAGCGUUGUCCGGAUUUAUUGGGCGUAAAGAGCGUGUAGGCGGCCAGGUAGGUCCGUUGUGAAAACUCGAGGCUCAACCUCGAGACGUCGAUGGAAACCAUCUGGCUAGAGUCCGGAAGAGGAGAGUGGAAUUCCUGGUGUAGCGGUGAAAUGCGUAGAUAUCUGGAGGAACACCGGUGGCGAAGGCGGCAUCCUGGACCGGUAUUGACGCUGAGGCGCGAAAGCCAGGGGAGCAAACGGG
rnacentral:rRNA from 1 species